GAUCAUGGCUCAGGAUGAACGCUAGCUACAGGCUUAACACAUGCAAGUCGAGGGGAAACGAUAUUGGAAGCUUGUUUCCGAUAGGCGUCGACCGGCGCACGGGUGAGUAACGCGUAUCCAACCUGCCCGACCACUUGGGAUAACCUUGCGAAAGUAAGACUAAAUACCCAAUGAUAUCUCUAGAAGACAUCUGAAAGAGAUUAAAGAUUCAUCGGUGAUGGAUGGGGAUGCGU
rnacentral:rRNA from 1 species